UACUUUAUGUUUACUAAAAACUGUUAAUAAAUAUAUAAUUAUGUAACUUAAGUAUAGCAACGUAUUCCAAAAUUAAAAGUUCUCAGGGAAUACGACACCAUUGUCUAUGGCUUGUCUCUGCGACAAUACCUGUUCGGGGAUGACAUCCAUUGUUUUCCAAGUUCGGAAUAAUCAACUAAGCGACAUACGACCUUAUGAUGGAGUGAUGUUACGAUUGAGAACAGCCGCUCUGCAACAAUUAUAAGGAAGGCCGUAGUCAAAAUAAUCAAUUAUUUAUUUAUCCAUAUCAGAAACUUC